AGAACGAACGCUGGCGGCAUGCCUAACACAUGCAAGUCGAACGAAGCCUUCGGGCUUAGUGGCGCACGGGUGCGUAACGCGUGGGAACCUGCCUUUAGGUUCGGAAUAACUCCUCGAAAGGGGUGCUAAUACCGAAUAAUGUCUUCGGACCAAAGAUUUAUCGCCUUUAGAUGGGCCCGCGUUGGAUUAGCUAGUUGGUGGGGUAAAGGCCCACCAAGGCGACGAUCCAUAGCUGGUCUUAGAGGAUGAUCAGCCACACUGGGACUGAGACACGGCCCAGACUCCUACGGGAGGCAGCAGUGGGGAAUAUUGGACAAUGGGCGAAAGCCUGAUCCAGCAAUGCCGCGUGAGUGAUGAAGGCCUUAGGGUGUAAAGCUCUUUACCCGGAUGAUAAUGACAGUACCGGAGAAUAAGCUCCGGCUAACUCCGCGCCAGCAG
rnacentral:rRNA from 1 species